GACGAACGCUGGCGGCGUGCUUAACACAUGCAAGUCGAACGCUGAAGCUCAGCUUUUGUUUGGUGGAUGAGUGGCGAACGGGUGAGUAACACGUGAGUAACCUGCCUCCUUCUUUGGGAUAACGCCCGGAAACGGGUGCUAAUACUGGAUAUUCACUGGUCUUCGCAUGGGGGUUGGUGGAAAGGGUUUUUCUGGUGGGGGAUGGGCUCGCGGCCUAUCAGCUUGUUGGUGGGGUGAUGGCCUACCAAGGCCUUGACGGGUAGCCGGCCUGAGAGGGUGACCGGUCACAUUGGGAGUGAGAUACGGCCCAGACUCCUACGGGAGGCAGCAGUGGGGAAUAUUGCACAAUGGGCGCAAGCCUGAUGCAGCGACGCCGCGUGAGGGAUGGAGGCCUUCGGGUUGUGAAACUCUUUCGCUCAUGGUCAAGCCGCAACAAUGGUUGUGGUGAGGGUAGUGGGUAAAGAAGCGCCGGCUAACUACGUG
rnacentral:rRNA from 1 species